rnacentral:rRNA from 1 species
GAAUAUUGGACAAUGGGGGGAACCCUGAUCCAGCCAUGCCGCGUGUGUGAAGAAGGCCUUUUGGUUGUACAGCACUUUAAGCGAGGAGGAGGCUACCCUAGUUAAUACCUAGAGAUAGUGGACGUUACUAGCAACAUAAGCACCGGCUCACUCUGUGCCAGCCGCCGCGGUAAUACAGAGGGUGCAAGCGUUAAUCGGAUUUACUGGGCGUAAAGCGCGCGUAGGUGGCCAAUUAAGUCAAAUGUGAAAUCCCCGAGCUUAACUUGGGAAUUGCAUUCGAUACUGGUUGGCUGGAGUAUGGGAGAGGAUGGUAGAAUUCCAGGUGUAGCGGUGAAAUGCGUAGAGAUCUGGAGGAAUACCGAUGGCGAAGGCAGCCAUCUGGCCUAAUACUGACACUGAGGUGCGAAAGCAUGGGGAGCAAACAG